UACGGAGGAUCCGAGCGUUAUCCGGAUUUAUUGGGUUUAAAGGGUGCUCAGGCGGGCCAUUAAGUCGGCGGUGAAAUUUUGCAGCUCAACUGUAAAAGUGCCUUCGAAACUGGUUUCCUUGAGUGUGGAUGAAGUAGGCGGAAUUUGUGGUGUAGCGGUGAAAUGCAUAGAUAUCACGAGGAACUCCGAUUGCGCAGGCAGCUUACUAAACCAUAACUGACGCUCAGGCACGAAGGCGUGGGGAUCAAACAGGAUUAGAUACCCGCGUA
rnacentral:rRNA from 1 species